UAAAGUGGAAUAAUAGUGUCUGAAGCAGUCUAUGUGUUGUAAACAAAGCUUUUCUGUUUUGGCAGCCUGUCAAGCCAUGUGUGCACGUGAAUCCCUCCCUUUGAAACCACUGGGUCUGCCUAUGCUUAUAAAUGAAGACAAGUGGAUCAGCUGAUCAAGGGAAGUGAAAGCGCAGUCAAGCAUUAAGCCAGUUCCCCUAAAACACCAAAGAAUGUCCAAAAUAAGUAUUUUAUUAAUGUUAUUUGCCAAAUUUACAUGCACAAUUUCAUUUCAGCUCAGUGUGAGAGUCACUGUUGCUGUUUUUGAGCUCUCCCAUGCUACUCCUUCUUUGGUAAUGUCUGUUCCACUCUGGUAAAUUCAUGGUAUCACGUGAAGAUAACGUUACCUGAGUUGACAACAACUUGUUACGGCCAUUCAAUGUAUUUUGUAUUUCGUUUCUUCUUGUAUACACAACCUUUCCGGUUGUAAAUUAAUGUAAAUGGAGGGAGCAGGUGUGGCCAAUGUUGCCAGUUUACUUUGAUCUGAGAUUCUGGUGGUCUAGUGACAACAAAUGGCUCUCAGUGUUGCACACAGAACCUUUAAGUAGGUGUAACUGCCAACUCAUUGGCCUGCAAAAUAUGUAUAAAGGAGAUUUGUUUCUGAAUACAUUCGUCAGAAAAUAAUUGCUGAAAACAUGUGAGAAGACUGCAAGCCAUGUAGUACAGAAUGGUAGGAUUAGACCAUUAAACUGUCCUGUAGUUUGUCCUCUUUGCAGUUAUCUCUGACUGCAGAGCUACACAUUUCUGAUUUGUUACUGACCUCGCCAACCUCCCAAGUGUUUGUUGUUCUCUUGUACCUUGUUUGUCUAAUUUUUCUAUGCUUCUCUCUCCGCCCCUUUACCCUCACCCCAACCAGUUGAGGCAGAUGGCCACCCUUCCUGAACCUGGUUUUGCUGGAGGGCAAGCGGUGGAGCGAGGUGAUUUGUCAUACUGGCCAUUGAAAUGUCAGCGGGAUACUUCAUCUGCCCUUGUUGGACACAUGGAAGAUGUGGGUUCAAAGAAUCUCACAGCGAGAGAGUUGGAUUGAAAUUACUAUGACCUGGUAGUAGAAGCACUGACACCAGGAUUGGAUGACUCCCUGCUCCUCCUCAGGAUGGACACACAUUCAUUAAUGAUCAGAGAGGACAUGACAGUGAACUUGCAUGAGGGAUCACAGAAAUGAGGGAAGGGGAGGGGGGGCUGGUGGUGAAAAAAAAAAAACGUUGGUGAUGCUGCACAAUAACGCACAUUCUGUACUGAAGUGUCUCCAGGGGUUAUAGUGCUGCUGCUGCUGCUGCUGAUAGUGGCGUUAAUAAUGGAUAGGCCUACACUGUAUAAAGCGGCUGGUUGCAAUAUGAUUAGCCCAUACCAGAGUGGCCUAUUUCCCCUGAAUGACAUGCACAGAUAGUGCCUGGCUGUUUGCCACCCCCCCCCCCCCCCAAAUCCCCUUCCUCUCUCGCCCCUUAUAUGUUUUAAAAUUUACUGCUUGCAGUCAUGGUCAGACGCAUUGUAGUUGCAUGUUCUCGUUGCGUAAAUCACAUUUUAAUCUAAGGGAAUGUAAUGGAGCCUAAUUAAAAGAGGC